GUGAGCCAUGAGACGUCAAGUAUCUAUUGUUCAUACCGGCAGCGUCUGCGAAGGGAAAAGUAUCUUUUCACGGCUCACCUUUAAGGAAAACCUUGUCCACAGAAAGGCAAAAUUUAAACUGACAACAGAAAAACCUCUAAAAGCUAAAGGAUAUUGUAUCAAACUAAACGAGCAUCAUGGGACGAGGUGAGAGUGAGGGGUGGGAGGAAGAGCCAAAGACAACUCAGCCCAAGAGUCAAGGGGACAACAAGGAAAACAAGUCGGAGGGUGGAGGCUGUCCAAAGUGCUGCUUGAAGACCAGGGACUGUCUGAUGAGCCCAGAAUGUGGCAGAGCACUGCAGAUCUCCAGUGUUGUCGCCUUCUGCGGAAUGUGCAUCCGUGCAUGGACGUAAUCAUCAAGGCCUUCAGGAAUUCCAUGAACUAUGAAGAAUCCUUCAAUCUCCUGAUUGAAAUAUUUGACCGUAUUCUAAAAUGAAAAAUGUUGAACUUUACUCUUUACUUAGCUUUUCUUAACUGCAGCAAAUAUUUAAUAUAAAGAAAAAUAAGUUAACAGUAUUUUUAAAUAGAUAUGCCAGUUUUUAAAAAUGUCAUACUUUGCCAAAAUAUUUGAUUUAUGUAGAAAGAGGGACGUGUAUUUGUAUGUAUGCAGUAAAUAAUGUCAUAAUGUAGACAGCUGAAAACAAGCUUGUUUGUAUUUAUUGUCAUUUAGAGAAUUAAACGGCGUAAGUUUGAAUGUAUACAAUAACUAAGUAAGUGUCAUUUAUUUUUGUGUUAAAGUAAUUAUUUUGGGUUUACUGUGGUCACAUGUAAGAGAUAAAUAAGGUUUCAUCAUAUUCAUAUUCAAAAGCUGUUGCUACAAUUUGAUCAGAAAAAAAAAAUCUGACAUUCAACAAGGCCUUAAAGUUGAAAACUUUGGUUCAGUUUGCCCAUUUUUAGAGCCUUGUUAAUUUUAUGAAACAA